rnacentral:rRNA from 1 species
CCUACGGGUGGCAGCAGUGGGGAAUAUUGCACAAUGGGGGAAACCCUGAUGCAGCGACGCCGCGUGAGUGAAGAAGUAUUUCGGUAUGUAAAGCUCUAUCAGCAGGGAAGAAAAUGACGGUACCUGAUUAAGAAGCCCCGGCUAACUACGUGCCAGCAGCCGCGGUCAUACGUAGGGGGCAAGCGUUAUCCGGAUUUACAGGGUGGAAAGGGAGCGUAGACGGCAGCGCAAGUCUGGAGUGAAAUGCCGGGGCUUAACCCCGGAACUGCUUUGGAAACUGUGCAGCUAGAGUGCAGGAGAGGUAAGCGGAAUUCCUAGUGUAGCGGUGAAAUGCGUAGAUAUUAGGAGGAACACCAGUGGCGAAGGCGGCUUACUGGACUGUAACUGACGUUGAGGCUCGAAAGCGUGGGGAGCAAACAGGAUUAGAUACCCGAGUAGUC